rnacentral:rRNA from 1 species
CAGCCGCCGCGGUAAUACCGGCGGCCCGAGUGGCGGUCACUAUUAUUGGGCUUAAAGCGUCCGUAGCCGGGGUGGGAAGUCCUCCGGGAAAUCUGGCCGCUUAAAGGUCAGAAUGCCGGAGGAUACUCCCAGCCUAGGGAGCGGGAGAGGCCGAGGGGAUUCCCGGGGUAGGGGUGAAAUCCUAUAAUCCCGGGAGGACCACCUGUGGCGAAGGCGCUCGGCUGGAACGCGUCCGACGGUGAGGGACGAAGGCCAGGGGAGCAAACCGGAUUAGAUACCCGGGUAGUCCUGGCUGUAAACGAUGCGGACUUUGUGUCGGACAAGCUAUGAGCUUGUCCGGUGCCGGAGGGAAACCGUUAAGUCCGCCGCCUGGGGAGUACGGCCGCAAGGUUGAAACUUAAAGGAAUUGGCGGG